CCCCUCUCAGGGUCACAUCUGGAGAGUUUCCAGUACACUACCAGUUUCGACAACAGGAGGUAGAGUCAAGCAGAGGCUUAACUAUUGCAUUCUUAGCUUGGGCAGUGGCUAGUGAAUGGAAGACAAUCUGCUACAAGU